CAUUCCAUUCCAUUCCAUUCCAUUCCAUUGCAUUCCAUUCCAUUCCAUUGCAUUCCAUUCCAUUCCAUUCCAUUCCAUUCCAUUCCAUUCCAUUCCAUUCCAUUGCAUUCCAUUCCAUUCCAUUCCAUUGCAUUCCAUUCCAUUCCAUUCCAUUGCAUUCCAUUCCAUUCCAUUGCAUUCCAUUCCAUUCCAUUCCAUUCCAUUCCAUUCCAUUCCAUUCCAUUGCAUUCCAUUCCAUUCCAUUGCAUUCCAUUCCAUUCCAUUCCAUUCCAUUCCAUUGCUUUCCGUUCCAUUCCAUUCCAUUCCCUUCCUUUCGAGUUCAUUCCGUUCCUUUCCAUUGGAAACCA
rnacentral:lncRNA from 1 species